CCUACGGGUGGCAGCAGUGAGGAAUAUUGGUCAAUGGACGAGAGUCUGAACCAGCCAAGUAGCGUGAAGGAUGACUGCCCUAUGGGUUGUAAACUUCUUUUAUAUGGGAAUAAAAUGUUCCACGUGUGGGAUUUUGUAUGUACCAUAUGAAUAAGGAUCGGCUAACUCCGUGCCAGCAGCCGCGGUAAUACGGAGGAUCCGAGCGUUAUCCGGAUUUAUUGGGUUUAAAGGGAGCGUAUGUGGAUUGUUAAGUCAGUUGUGAAAGUUUGCGGCUCAACAGUAAAAUUGCAGUUGAAACUGGCAGUCUUGAGUACAGUAGAGGUGGGCGGAAUUCGUGGUGUAGCGGUGAAAUGCUUAGAUAUCACGAAGAACUCCGAUUGCGAAGGCAGUUCACUGGACUGCAACUGACACUGAGGCUCGAAAGUGUGGGUAUCAAACAGGAUUAGAUACCCCAGUAGUC
rnacentral:rRNA from 1 species